CGAACUCUCUGGGCCCCUGCGAUGUAGGUUGCCUAAAGCCACCGAGCCCUCCUCGCUAGCUUGAGGAGCAUCCACACUCUCUCCCCAGGCAGCUGUCUUGGGAGUGAUGCUGGAGUUUGGAUCAUAUUCCAUGCGCCCGUGGCUCCAAAUGCCCAUCAUUCCUCAGUACUGGGCAAAGGUUGUUCAGCCUCAGGUGAAGUGAGACAAAGAAGGACGUCAAGAGGUUUUGCUGGGUUUGAUGGGUUUCAUCUGGGACGGGUUACAAUGCAUUUUGUGUAAUCAUCUCUUUUCAUUAAGUGGCAGGCAUUGUAGAUACAGUUCAGUCAUUCUUUUUUAUGGCAUGUUUAGUUGGC
rnacentral:lncRNA from 1 species